rnacentral:rRNA from 1 species
UACGGGGGGGGCAAGCGUUGUUCGGAAUUACUGGGCGUAAAGGGCUCGUAGGCGGCCAACUAAGUCAGACGUGAAAUCCCCAGGCUCAACCUGGGAACUGCGUCUGAUACUGGAUGGCUUGAAUUCGGGAGAGGGAUGCGGAAUUCCAGGUGUAGCGGUGAAAUGCGUAGAUAUGUGGAGGAACACCGAUGGCGAAGGCAGCCCCCUGGGUCAAGAUUGACGCUCAUGCACGAAAGCGUGGGGAGCAAACAGG